AGGGGCAGCGGGGGUGCAGGCUUGCCUGCACCUGCCGGCGACCGGCGCACGGGUGAGUAACACGUAUGGAACCUGCCCGCCACAGGGGGAUAACCCGGGGAAACCCGGCCUAAUACCCCAUGCCGCCCGGACCGGGCAUCCGGACCGGGCGAAAGGAGGAAUCCGGUGGCGGCUGGGCAUGCGGCGCAUUAGCUUGACGGCGGGGUAACGGCCCACCGUGGCGACGAUGCGUAGGGGUUCUGAGAGGAAGGCCCCCCACACUGGAACUGAGACACGGUCCAGACUCCUACGGGAGGCAGCAGUGAGGAAUAUUGGUCAAUGGGCGGAAGCCUGAACCAGCCAAGUCGCGUGAGGGAAUAAGGCCCUACGGGUCGUAAACCUCUUUUGCCGGGGAGCAAGGGCCGGGACGAGUCCCGGUCCGGAGAGUACCCGGAGAAAAAGCAUCGGCUAACUCCGUGCCAGCAGCCGCGGUAAUACGGAGGAUGCGAGCGUUAUCCGGAUUUAUUGGGUUUAAAGGGUGCGUAGGCGGGCUUUUAAGUCAGCGGUAAAAAUUCGGGGCUCAACCCCGUCCGGCCGUUGAAACAGGGGGCCUUGAGUGGGCGAGAAGAAGGCGGAAUGCGUGGUGUAGCGGUGAAAUGCAUAGAUAUCACGCAGAACCCCGAUUGCGAAGGCAGCCUUCCGGCGCCCUACUGA
rnacentral:rRNA from 1 species